GCGCCUGUAGCUCAACUGGAUAGAGCAUUUGACUACGGAUCAAAAGGUUGGGAGUUCGAAUCUCUCCAGGCGCG
rnacentral:tRNA from 1 species